rnacentral:rRNA from 1 species
AUGAGAUUUAAUAGAAAUGCUACAGCUCUCCGCCCUGGAAUUUUCGCCAUACGAUAUGUGCUCAAAGCAAUGAGAAAUCCUCGCAAAGAAGCUAAAACCCAGCAAAAUACUGACGAAGACCCUACUGAAGAACAUGCAAUCCAGCAAGCUCCUGUCAAAGGACACAAAGACGGUGAUAUUGAUAGCACACAAACACAAAGCAUGUCUCCUCAUUCAUCAGAAAAGGACACAGAACAGACCAUGAGGAACAAACCACCUGUGGCAGAAAUGGUAACUUACACCAGGCUCAACAGGAGUAAACACCUAGCAACAAGCAAAAAAAAGAGAAAAUCAGAUACCAGCACUAUUUUUACUCCUGGAGCAAAAAGGCAAAAGAAAAAGGAAAAUGCUGAAAAGAUCGUCGACACUGGUACCUUGCAGCAUCAGCCAUUACCUCUAAUGGUACUCCCGCCAACAGAACCAGCCGGCACGAAGAAACAAGCUGAACGCAAGAAGAAAAACAAACGACAAAGGAUAGAAAAAGAACAAGACGAUACCAACAGCAAAGGUUCAGAUACCAAUGACGACGAUGACAGACAGCAUGAUGCAGAUUUCAUUCCUACAGACGGCGAUGAUGCCGAAGAGCACGACAGCAACGCAGAACAUGACGACGAUCUCAAAUCAAGCAAGAAGGACAGAAAGAGAAGAAAGACAAGCGGGAAAGAACUGGUAGUACCAACAGUUGACGAAGAACAGCAAGAAACAGACGAAGAGAAAUGCCAAAUCAAGGCAGGGGCAGCAUUCGCCCAUGUCAAGAAAGCAUGGAAUUUACUUAAAGACCGUCACAAGAAAGAUAUUAGGAUGGCAGGAUUUGGCAGCAUAGAGAACUGCAAAAUAACGGGUUCCAUCUGCAGACCGCUUGCAGAACACAUCUACGACAACCUCAACACAGAAACCAUGACAAUAACCUUCGGUGAUGCUACUGAAGACAAAAAAAUCAAGAUUACCAAGGAAGCUACCCACAAGGUGUUUGGAUACCCAAACGGCACGCAAAGGUCAGCACCAAGGCCAGAGACUAGCCCGGCUUCAAUGAAAGAACUGAUGUCAGAGCUUGGCUUCAAAGAUACAAAGUUCACACCAAAACAACUAUUCGAGAAGCUAGAAAUAUUAGUGGAAAUAGAUGAUGAAAAAUCAAACAGGAAAUCAGUUAAAAUAUUUUUCCUUAUUUUUUUCCACAAUGUUGUCUGUGGGUCAAGCGCCGCUAUCUUCGCCCGGACAGCUAUAAUGGUCAAGGACAUGGACUAUCCAGAAAUGGCAAAGAUGGAUUUCUGCGAGGUAAUCAUCGAAUGUAUUAGGGAAGGAGCCAAGACAUGGCAGAAGCACAGGAUGUUGCCUCAGGAGGAAAAGAACAAAAAGCACAUCAAUGGUUUGGCACAGGUACAAGUAAUAAUGUACCUUGACUCCCUGCUGCUGCCAACCGACACAAAAGAAAUGCGGAAGAUUGCAAAGACAAUGGACAAAACCUCAUUACCACGAGCAAACCAUCUAAAAGAGAGUGACCUAGCGAAAAUAGCUAGAGCAGACAUGAAAACGGACGGAAAAGCACGACCAGAUGACUAUGAAUUUGGCAAGAUACAUAUAGUAGGAGAACAUCGUAAAGAACAGCAACACCAGCACACAACCAAGCUGCUACCACCUCCACCCAAGCGCCGGCGUGAACCACGUAUCGGCACUAGUGGAAGCAUGGAACCAAACAAAAACAUCAGCACAGUACCAGAAGAAAGAUUCCAAAGGAUAAACAAAUUGUUGGAAAAAGUGCUCCAUGAAGCAAAACAGUUACCCGUAGUAACCACCAGGGCUAAACACCGAUGCAACGAAAAAGAAGAGAUAUUGGAUGAAAAAAACAAAGACAAAGUCGUGCAACAAACAAUUACCCUGAUGGAUUCUCUAGAACAACUCAGACAAUUUCAGGACAUAGUUUGCACAAGGUACCUCACAGACAACGCGACCCUGCAGACGCUAGAGCAAGCAGUUCCGGCAGCAUCAAGUAGACAAGUCGAUGCCAGCCGCACGAAUGAAAUAGUAGCCACAAUAGAACAAAGUGAAAGGAGAAAAGAUAAGAAAGAAGAAGAGGACGAAGAGAGGAAGAGAAGAACAAAAUCAAGGGAUGAUGAACUCAAACAGCAGGAUGGCGUCAACAACCCCAAAAACAAGAAUGAACGCAACAAACAAAGCAACCUCACAACAGACAGUGCUACAACAACAACUACUCCAACACAAGCACAAGAUACGAUCGACGUCAGAACCAGUGAAGAGGCUCAGCUGGAGAACAAUCAAGUCAGCAGUCCCGUCAACCAAUUGCAAGAGGCUCACCCACAAUCAACCGUUAGCGUAACAAACGACAAAGAAGAAGAAAACAACGAAGAGGAGGUAUCAAAAUCACUGCAAGACCAAGAUACAACCAGUGUUGAAAUUGAACCCCAUAGUGAACCUCAAACAGACGAAGGAGUCACAGAACAGGAAGUUUGUGCACAAGAGAUUUCCAGUGCCACAACAUUGCAGAUCACCAUCACGAGUACAAAGGAGAAAACCCAAGACAUGCAAGCCGAUGAGGAACUAGAGACUGUUAUACCUGGCAAAGAAACAGUCGAUGUAGGCACAAAUAACCCAGUCAUUAACACAGAGGAAACAAACAAGUACAUUGAUCUCGAAGAUCAAGAAGCAGCGCAACCAAAGGAAACUGGAAAACACACAGAAGUUCAAACAACAACAUCUGAAGAGGAAGAGGAAGCAAGCGAAAGAACUUGCAUAAAUAUUGAACAAGAAAAAGUAGAGGACAGAACGAGACAAGGAGAAGCCGUAGUUCCAGCAGGAGACAGUCCUGCAAAUCCAGAGAAAGAGGCACAAGAAGCUCAGGAGAGCACCAACAAUCAAGACCAUCAAACACAACUAGAGGAGCCCAAUGAACAACCCGAACAUGUUCAUCAAACGAUAGACAAUAAUGCCACUGAAGACCAAGCCACCAAAAAUUCAAUCACCAAACAACAUCUACCAGAGUCAGCGCCAGCGUCAACGAUUGAAAAGAGAGAGGAGACAGAUGAGCAAAAGGAGGCCACAGAAGAAGGGCAAAAUGUUCUUCAAACGGCAGAUAACAACGUCAAAGAAGACCAAGCGCCAAAAUAUUCACUCACCAAAAAAACCACAGCAGAGACGGCAGCAGCGACAACGACUGAAAAGCUACAAGACAAAAACAACGGCAGCGGCGAUGAACUCCAAAAGACAGAACAGGAAGAUGCCCAAAAACCUCCACUCAACGAAGAACAAGCACAACAGUCAGCAGCAGCAACGAGAACAGCAGCAGAGAUAACAGAAACAACAACGACUGAGAAGGCCAGUGCCAUCCAGGUCGAGACUGAAAAACAAGACAGAAAAAACCACCAGCAAGACAUAACGGUUGACAAGGAAAAACAUGAUGCCAAGAAAAGCACAGACGACUCAAAUAAGGAUGGAGAAGAAACUGAACAAAAGGGCACAGUGGAGAAAGGGGGCAAAGAUAGCAAUUCCGUCAACAAAGCCAUCGAAGACCUGUACAACGCUGUAUGCAAGCCAUGGACAAAGAGAGAAAUGGAUCGGCUUUUCAUUACAACGGACAAGUUUGAUGUAAAUCUAGGACAUGUCUCCGAAAGCUUCAAGGUCGGUGAAUCAGUACGCACCGAAGCAAUAGAGCCCAUGCUAACAAUCUUGAGAAAACAACUCAAUGGCACACGGAGAAAGAUUCUGUCGUUAAGCAACACUUUCCUUCUACCAUGUUCGUUGUGCGGGUUUGAGAAAGAAGAAACUAUAAGUCAUUACUUCACCAUCACAGUUAACAUGCAAAAACAGCGCUUUGAACUCCUUGAAUCUUCAACUGCAUAUCCAGGCACAAUAGAAUUCUUCAACAAUGUAACCAGCAAACUAAUGAAAAAUUGGAAGCACAUAAGCACAGAGCUACAGCUUUCAGAAAAAAGCAUCGACCAUUACAAAAAGGUCAGACUGCAGGUGCCACUACAAGGAGAAGACAUAAUGGACUGCGCAUUCUAUAUGUACAUGAACCUGAAGCACUACUCCAGUGAUGGAACAAUAGCAACCUUAAAGCUAGAACAAGUACGAAAGUUGAGGAAAAGGGUUCUAUAUCAACUAAUCAGUCAACACAGAGGGAAACCAAAACUGUCACUAAUCAAGUGUACAACAGAUAUGUUGAAAUAUGAAGUAGAUGUGGAAGACAAAGAAAUGCAACAGGCAGAAUGUUGCGUACUAGAAGAGUUUCCGCCAACUCCCGGGCCAAAAGAACAUAUUAUGCAUGCGACAACCACACAAGAGCAUGAAGUUAUUGAUAUAUCCAGUAAACGAAAAGAUAUUAUGGAUGUUAGAAGCCACGCCGUCGCCCAACAAUCUUGCACAGACCAUGAACAAAAUGAUCCAGCAAUAGAACCAGAUCAACCACCACCAGACGACAAGAUACCACACCAUGCCGAAGAGGAAACAGACGAGCAAAAUAUCAACAUCGAUAUCUCGACCACAGAGCAACUGGAACAAACAGGCACUGAUUUAAAAGAGGAUGACAGAAGCAAUGACGUACCAAAUACACAACAACAGGAAGAAGUUGAUGAAUUUCUUUCACACCUUAACCCGCUACAACUAGACGAAUACAACGAACAUGUAAAGAUGGGCUCUAACUUCGAUUUAAUCAAAACAUGGCUGACCGAGCAUGAAAGCUAUGAAUUCAACAAAAAUCCCAAACCGUAUCUGGCAAUCUUGCAGCAAGAGUCAGGAGAACAUUCAAUGCCUCAAUCAUCUGAGAACAGCUCAGACAAGAAAAUCUCGGUCAAGAAAAGGCCGGUAAAGCCUUCAAGAAGGCUCCUUGGAGAAAUCAUGAUUCCUGCUUUUGUCCCAGGAGAUUUCAAAUUUAUCAACAAAGCCAGAGCACUCCAUGAAUACCUAUUCAGCAAAGAAGGACAACACGAAUGUAGAGAUAUAAACAUAUAUAUUAACUCGAAGCGACCUGAUUGGAUUACAGGAAAACAAGCAAUGGAACAGCUACGGAAAGGAGAUCAUGGACAGAUGGAGGGCUCCAUCGCAAACGCAUUGUUCGAAGAAUGGACAGUGCAGCAACAAUACAACACGACCGAUAAAGCCAUACUUCCCGCAGAAUUUGCAAAUAUCGUGCUCGGUGUUAAAAUUGGAGAAAAAGGAGGACUAGCAGAAUUCAAUGAGGAAGGAGCAUUGGAACAGUUUGCAUCCCUUGUAACAUGGAAGGAACUUUUAAAGAAAAAGUUGAUUAUGAUACCUCACAACACAGCUAAACACUACACAUUGUACGUGCUCAACAAGUACACGAACUCCAUCGACAUACUUGACUCACUGAAACACACCAUAAGGAUCACGAAGAACUGGAUGCACGCACUCAUGAAGAAGCAUUACGGCGAAGCGGAGCUACGAGCCAACAACGAACCGAACUGGUCGAGGAUAGCAGAAACACCUAACAGAGUUUGCGUGCCAAAACAGCAGGGUAACCAAUGCGGACACUUCAUGGUUCAAUUUGCAAAAUACUGGAAUGGCAUUGAUCUCAUAAAAGAUGAUGAGGAUUUCAAUCAAAGCAACGUAGAUGCCGAGUGGAAACCAGAGUUCCUUUUUACAGCCAUAUUUGAUGAAACAAACCUAGUAAACUGGGAGCAACUACCUGGAAGAAUCAAAGAAUUCAAACCAAAAACUUCAAAGUUCUUUUCCACCAACAAAGAGGCCAAAAGUAAUGCAAGAAUCUGUUUCUCACUAACCGUGACCUCAAAAAUUAUUUUAUCUCCCUGUCGCAGCAAAACUAUAUUUAGGCGCAUCCGCAGGGAUAGUGAAAGCACGCAACUUACUGGAGCCCAACUCAAGGCAGUAUUUGGUCCAAGACCAGCACAGACAAACAUACCACAUCAUAUAGAAAAAAGGGUCCUCGAUGACAUAGAAGAAAUUUUGGAAAACAGACAAGAUUCAAAACAGAGUGACAGAGUAAUAUUAGGCCCAAACUUUGCAGAGAUAUUCAUUCUAAUGGAGAAGCUUGGCCGCUAUGUACUACAUGUCGUGGACAAAUACAAACACAAAGUUCACACUAUUGAUCCUCGAGAAACGACUCACGAGGAAUUUGAGAAAGAAAAGAUAGACAUCGACGAAUUGGAAGAAGAAGAAGCAUGUCGAGUUCUUCAGGAAAAUGAAGAUGCUAAAGAAGAAAGAGAAAGACAGUUUCACGAAUAUCAUGUUCAUAAGUUGGCAAUCGUACCUAGGUUUAAAGAAGUCUUCAACAUCAUACUAGGACAAACACUGAAUCCCAAGGGUACAAGAUGGCAGACUCAUACCAUGCAAGAUGCUCCAGUGGUAGAAAAGGAAGAAUCAACAUUUGCUAUUUUAAAGCUUGCAUUCCUCUACAAUGGUGAAAAGUUUGUCGAAGACCUGAAAGAUUUGACAGUCGAAGACUGGAGGGCAGAGGCAAUGUACAUUCUCUUAAAUAGCGAGAUGAAUCAAGUCAAAGCUAGUGAAAUGGGUGACGAGAUUAGCAAGAUCUUAAGCAAAAAUGAAGAGUAA